AGGCUAGGAUAGUGCCCAGCAGCCCAUACAGAGCAUAUGGAAUGGUACAGAGAAGAUUAGCAUGGCCUCUGUACAAUGAUGGUACGAAAAUCCAUGAAGAGGCCCAUAGUUUU
ensembl:snRNA U6 U6 spliceosomal RNA